UUUCCGGUUGAUCCCGCCGGACCUGACUGCUAUCGGAUUGAUACUAAGCCAUGCGAGUCUUUGUAGUAAUACAAGGCAGACGGCUCAGUAACACGUAGUCAACCUACCCUAUGGACGAGAAUAAUCUCGGGAAACUGAGCAUAAUUCUUGAUAGAUCAUAAUGCCUGGAAUGGUUUAUGGUUAAAAUGAUUCGUCGCCAUAGGAUGGGACUGCGGCCUAUCAGCUUGUUGGUGAGGUAAUGGCCCACCAAGGCGAUUACAGGUACGGGCUCUGAGAGGAGAAGCCCGGAGAUGGGUACUGAGACACGGACCCAGGCCCUAUGGGGCGCAGCAGGCGAGAAAACUUUGCAAUGUGCGAAAGCACGACAAGGUUAAUCCGAGUGAUUUCUGCUAAAGAAAUCUUUUGCCAGUCGUAAAACCGCUGGUGAAUAAGGGGUGGGCAAGUUCUGGUGUCAGCCGCCGCGGUAAAACCAGCACCUCAAGUGGUCAGGAUGAUUAUUGGGCCUAAAGCAUCCGUAGCCGGCUUUGUAAGUUUUCGGUUAAAUCCAUGUGCUCAACGCAUGGGCUGCCGAAAAUACUGCAUAGCUAGGGAGUGGGAGAGGUAGACGGUACUCAGUAGGUAGGGGUAAAAUCCUUUGAUCUAUUGAUGACCACCUGUGGCGAAGGCGGUCUACCAGAACACGUUCGACGGUGAGGGAUGAAAGCUGGGGGAGCAAACCGGAUUAGAUACCCGGGUAGUCCCAGCUGUAAACGAUGCAGACUAGAUGAUGCAUUGGCAUAAUAGCCAUUGCAGUGUCUCAGGGAAGCCGUUAAGUCUGCCGCCUGGGAAGUACGUACGCAAGUAUGAAACUUAAAGGAAUUGGCGGGGGAGCACCACAAGGGGUGAAGCCUGCGGUUCAAUUGGAGUCAACGCCGGGA
rnacentral:rRNA from 1 species